CCUACGGGAGGCUGCAGUGAGGAAUAUUGGUCAAUGGCCGGAAGGCUGAACCAGCCAAGCCGCGUGAAGGACGAAGGUGCCAAGCAUUGUAAACUUCUUUUGUCAAGGGACAAAAUCAGGCUCGAGAGCCUGACAGAGGGUACUUGAAGAAAAAGCAUCGGCUAACUCCGUGCCAGCAGACGCGGUAAUAAGGAGGAUGCGAGCGUUAUCCGGUUUGAUUGGGGUUAAAGGGUGCGUAGGUGGCCUGUUAAGUCAGCGGGUAAAGCCCGGGGCUCAACCCCGGCGAGCCGUUGAAACUGGCUGUCUUGAGAUGUCGAGAGGUAUGCGGAAUGCGCAGUGUAGCGGUGAAAUGCUUAGAUAUUGCGCAGAACUCCGAUUGCGAAGGCAGCAUACCGGCGGCGAUCUGACGCUGAGGCACGAAAGCGUGGGUAUCGAACAGGAUUAGAUACCCUGGUAGUC
rnacentral:rRNA from 1 species